ACCAGCCUGCAGGAGCAAAGAAGAUGCACAAUGAAGUCAAAAUGAAAAGUAGACAACAACAAAUACUGUUUUAAGGUACUUCGCUCCAGUGGAAAAAAGCCAUUUACAUUUAAUAAAAACUUCAAAAACCAUUUAAAACAGACCUUUACUUUUCUGAAAUAAAAAUAAUUAAAUAAAAAGAAACUCUUGGCGUUCCACUUUGUAAGAUCGUAUUAUUCACUUUUUGACAGAACGGAAAAUGUUUUAUAGUCAGUUUAUUCUCAGUCAUUCCACUUUUAAAAAGAAAGUGCUUUUAUUUUGGAGGAACGUGGCGUGUUUCCACUAUCGGAGCUUCAGGGUAAUUUUACUGGAACGUAACAACAUGGACGUGUGUCUCCGUGGCCGGCCAAAAGGGCCAUUUUCAGGAACUAACGAAGUACAGGAGCUGGGUCUGUGCUUGGAAUGGCCCGGUAGAGUCUCUGAGGGAAAAUUUUGGUUAACUCGCACUGACUGGUUGUAAUUCAGUAAAAAGACAUCGACAGACAUUGCCCAAACAACCAGCAUUUGUAAAAUUGUAAGAGUUGCUGAUAAAGCAGAAUAGAAGAAAAAGAAAAUAAGCAACAUUCAUGCAAACGAGAAAACAUUCAAUCACUGUUUCUAAACUCCCAAUAGGGCGAUGUGACUAAGACUUUUUCUAUCAUAGGUGAAAUAUUUAUCGUUUCAUAUGAAGCUCCGUCGUUUAUGCCACGGUUAGGCGUUUCACGGCAGCAUUCUACGUCAAGAUGCACCUUACGGCAUGCCCACGCGCGCUAGCCGUGCACAAACAAACAUGGGGGAAGACUGUAGCAGACGUGGUUCGGACCAGGGUACUUUUCAACAGGAUGACCUGCCGACCAAAACUGAAGAGCUUGCAUCUAAAAGAAGGGCUUUUAACCCGCGGCGGCUUACCAAAAUCAAGCCCUUGUUGUCUCGAGUACAUAUGGAGUCAGUGCUCCAUGCGUUUGUUUUAUCCAGGCUCGACUACUGCAAUGAUUUUUAUGUUGGGCAAAGUCAGGCAGCACUGAGACGUCUACAGUUGGUUCAGAACUCUGUGGCCAGAUUUCUGACAGGGACAAGGAGGUCGGCACACAUCACUCCUGUGCUGGCCUCAUUACAUUGGCUCCCUGUAGGUUUUUGGGCUAAGUUUAAAGUUAUGUGCAAUGUCUUCCGAUCUCUUUAUGGUGGUGCCCCACCGUACUUGGCAGCAUUAAUAAAAAGGCAUACCCCAUCACGGACUCUACAUUCGGCUGAUCUGGAGCUACUGAUUGCUCCACAAACUAGGUACAGAUCUAGAGGUGAUCUGGCUUUCUCGGUCUUGGCUCCUUCUUUCUGGAAUGAGCGUCCACUUGAUAUUAAACUGUCACCUUAGCUGCAGGUUUUUAAGACUCAUUUUUAUUGUUUGGCUUUUAUGUGACCUGGUUGUAUGCUUUUAUGCUCCUUGUUUACAUUUUGCAUGUUGCUUUUACCUCCUUUUUAUUGCUAUCUGUGCUUUUACUGUAUUUUAUGUUCAGCGCCUUGGGCUCCUGCAAAGGCAGUGGAAGGCGCUAUACAGAUAAAGAUUGAUUGAAUGAUCUUCUGUUGCAUGGAAGUGGCUUGGAUAUAGAAAGGCCGACAUGGACCAGUAGAAUUUGCCGGCUCUCUGUGCCAACAACAAACUCCAACACUACAAAUUUAUUUUACCACCUGCGCAAGAACCCUGAAAAAGGAUUCAGAGAGUGUCAACAAGCAAAUGCCGUAAAAGCAGCAUCGAGUGGUAGCGCAAGUGCUCAUAACAAACUCCAGACAGAUGCAGCAACAGGCGCGUGGGACAACGUGUAACCACAGCUGGCCGCAGAUGGAAGGAGUUCACUACUGUAGUUGCCAAGCACAUCUGCAAAGGUAUGGUUCCAAUCUACACAGUUGAGAAAUGGGUCAAAUGGGUCCAGUCUCUGAGAGGUAAGUAGCUUUUUGCCACAGCUAAAGCUGUAUUUAGCUUAGCUAAAAGUAAUAUUGUAUGACUGCCUCAACAGGUGUACCUGCAGCCACUGCACAUCAUUGUCUGCCAGAGAAAAUGUGUGCUGCAGAGAAACGCCCAAGGUAAUGCUCAGGUGUCAGCAGGUGGGUGUAACCUCCUGCAUAACUGAGCAUCCUGGUUUUGAGCCUGUUGCUCUGAAUCCCUACGUGUUGCAGGCAGUUUAUGGCACCUUUCUGCAACUCUAUGGGGAGAUGCAGGAGACUAUGCUCAACAGCUGUUACAGACAUCUGGCGUACCGGAAUGUGGUCAGGUGGUGUUGGGGUUACCUGGGACAGCACGUUCGUGUUGUGAUCCCGUCAUGCGCUGUCUCCAGAAUAAGGUAGGAGUUCCCAGAAGAUGGUGCAUACAAAG